ACGAACGCUGGCGGCAUGCCUAACACAUGCAAGUCGAACGAGACCUUCGGGUCUAGUGGCGCACGGGUGCGUAACGCGUGGGAACCUGCCCUUAGGUUCGGAAUAACUCCCCGAAAGGGGUGCUAAUACCGGAUAAUGUCUUCGGACCAAAGAUUUAUCGCCUUUGGAUGGACCCGCGUUGGAUUAGCUAGUUGGUAGGGUAAAAGCCUACCAAGGCGACGAUCCAUAGCUGGUCUGAGAGGAUGAUCAGCCACACUGGGACUGAGACACGGCCCAGACUCCUACGGGAGGCAGCAGUGGGGAAUAUUGGACAAUGGGCGAAAGCCUGAUCCAGCAAUGCCGCGUGAGUGAUGAAGGCCUUAGGGUUGUAAAGCUCUUUUACCCGGGAUGAUAAUGACAGUACCGGGAGAAUAAGCUCCGGCUAACUCCGUG
rnacentral:rRNA from 1 species